rnacentral:rRNA from 1 species
GAAUCUACCUAGUAGUGGGGGAUAGCACGGGGAAACUCGUAUUAAUACCGCAUACGACCUACGGGAGAAAGGGGGCAGUUUACUGCUCUCGCUAUUAGAUGAGCCUAAGUCGGAUUAGCUAGAUGGUGGGGUAAAGGCCUACCAUGGCGACGAUCUGUAGCUGGUCUGAGAGGAUGAUCAGCCACACCGGGACUGAGACACGGCCCGGACUCCUACGGGAGGCAGCAGUGGGGAAUAUUGGACAAUGGGGGAAACCCUGAUCCAGCCAUGCCGCGUGUGUGAAGAAGGCCUUUUGGUUGUAAAGCACUUUAAGCAGUGAAGAAGACUCCUCGGUUAAUACCCGUGGACGAUGACAUUAGCUGCAGAAUAAGCACCGGCUAACUCUGUGCCAGCAGCCGCGGUAAUACAGAGGGUGCAAGCGUUAAUCGGAAUUACUGGGCGUAAAGGGAGCGUAGGUGGCUCGAUAAGUCAGAUGUGAAAUCCCCGGGCUCAACCUGGGAACUGCAUCUGAUACUGUUGAGCUAGAGUAUGUGAGAGGAAGGUAGAAUUCCAGGUGUAGCGGUGAAAUGCGUAGAGAUCUGGAGGAAUACCGAUGGCGAAGGCAGCCUUCUGGCAUAAUACUGACACUGAGGCUCGAAAGCGUGGGUAGCAAACAGGAUUAGAUACCCUGGUAGUCCACGCCGUAAACGAUGUCUACUAGUCGUUGGGUCCCUUGAGGACUUAGUGACGCAGCUAACGCAAUAAGUAGACCGCCUGGGGAGUACGGCCGCAAGGUUAAAACUCAAAUGAAUUGACGGGGGCCCGCACAAGCGGUGGAGCAUGUGGUUUAAUUCGAUGCAACGCGAAGAACCUUACCUGGUCUUGACAUAUCUAGAAUCCUGCAGAGAUGCGGGAGUGCCUUCGGGAAUUAGAAUACAGGUGCUGCAUGGCUGUCGUCAGCUCGUGUCGUGAGAUGUUGGGUUAAGUCCCGCAACGAGCGCAACCCUUGUCCUUAGUUACCAGCGGGUUAAGCCGGGAACUCUAAGGAUACUGCCAGUGACAAACUGGAGGAAGGCGGGGACGACGUCAAGUCAUCAUGGCCCUUACGACCAGGGCUACACACGUGCUACAAUGGUAGGUACAGAGGGCAGCUACACAGCGAUGUGAUGCGAAUCUCAAAAAGCCUAUCGUAGUCCAGAUUGGAGUCUGCAACUCGACUCCAUGAAGUAGGAAUCGCUAGUAAUCGCGGAUCAGAAUGCCGCGGUGAAUACGUUCCCGGGCCUUGUACACACCGCCCGUCACACCAUGGGAGUUGAUUGC